AGAGUUCGAUCCUGGCUCAGGAUGAACGCUGGCGGCGCGCCUAACACAUGCAAGUCGAACGGCACCCACCUUCGGGUGGAAGCGAGUGGCGAACGGCUGAGUAACACGUGGAGAACCUGCCCCCUCCCCCGGGAUAGCCGCCCGAAAGGACGGGUAAUACCGGAUACCCCGGGGUGCCGCAUGGCACCCCGGCUAAAGCCCCGACGGGAGGGGAUGGCUCCGCGGCCCAUCAGGUAGACGGCGGGGUGACGGCCCACCGUGCCGACAACGGGUAGCCGGGUUGAGAGACCGACCGGCCAGAUUGGGACUGAGACACGGCCCAGACUCCUACGGGAGGCAGCAGUGGGGAAUCUUGCGCAAUGGGGGGAACCCUGACGCAGCGACGCCGCGUGCGGGACGGAGGCCUUCGGGUCGUAAACCGCUUUCAGCAGGGAAGAGUCAAGACUGUACCUGCAGAAGAAGCCCCGGCUAACUACGUGCCAGCAGCCGCGGUAAUACGUAGGGGGCGAGCGUUAUCCGGAUUCAUUGGGCGUAAAGCGCGCGUAGGCGGCCCGGCAGGCCGGGGGUCGAAGCGGGGGGCUCAACCCCCCGAAGCCCCCGGAACCUCCGCGGCUUGGGUCCGGUAGGGGAGGGUGGAACACCCGGUGUAGCGGUGGAAUGCGCAGAUAUCGGGUGGAACACCGGUGGCGAAGGCGGCCCUCUGGGCCGAGACCGACGCUGAGGCGCGAAAGCUGGGGGAGCGAACAGGAUUAGAUACCCUGGUAGUCCCAGCCGUAAACGAUGGGCGCUAGGUGUGGGGGAUGAGAUCCCCCGUGCCGCAGCCAACGCAUUAAGCGCCCCGCCUGGGGAGUAC
rnacentral:rRNA from 1 species